GACGAACGCUGGCGGCGUGCUUAACACAUGCAAGUCGAACGGAAAGGCCCUGCUUUUGUGCGGUGCUCGAGUGGCGAACGGGUGAGUAACACGUGAGUAACCUGCCCUUGACUUUGGGAUAACUUCAGGAAACUGGGGCUAAUACCGCAUAGGAGCUCCUGCUGCAUGUUGGGGGUUGGAAAGUUUCGGCGGUUGGGGAUGGACUCGCGGCUUAUGAGCUUGUUGGUGGGGUAGUGGCUUACCAAGGCUUUGACGGGUAGCCGGCCUGAGAGGGUGACCGGCCACAUUGGGACUGAGAUACGGCCCAGACUCCUACGGGAGGCAGCAGUGGGGAAUAUUGCACAAUGGGCGGAAGCCUGAUGCAGCAACGCCGCGUGCGGGAUGACGGCCUUCGGGUUGUAAACCGCUUUCGCCUGUGACGAAGCGUGAGUGACGGUAAUGGGUAAAGAAGCACCGGCUAACUACGUG
rnacentral:rRNA from 1 species